AAAGAGAAAGGCGAAAAUUAACCAACCCUCUUCUGGCUUAGUUGUUUGGAUAUUUCAGGAAUUCAUUACAAGCUUAAAAAUGCCUUUAGCACUGUGGUACAAGGACUAGAGAAAGAAGACAGUAAUAUACAUGAAGUCAGACGGCAUUCGUUAAGGAAGAUUCCUCAGUAGCUGAAGAUACCACUUCAACAAUAUCCUCCUAAAGCAAAUUAGGGAAAUACAGGUAGAGCACAAGCAGCAGAGGGGCAGAGAGAAGGAGAGACAGCAUCCCAAGCAGGCUCUGUGCCAUGAGUGCACAGCCAAAAGCGGGGCUCAAACUUACGAAAUGUGAGAUGAUGACCUGAGCGGAGAUCAAGAGUUGGACGUUUAACCAGCUGCGCCACCCAGGCACCCCUCUGAAACUAAUUUAAAAUACCACCUGCAUUCGCAAAAUAUUAUUCCUGAAAUAUCCCAGGUAGGCAGCCCCUG